rnacentral:rRNA from 1 species
CCUACGGGUGGCAGCAGUGGGGAAUAUUGCACAAUGGGCGCAAGCCUGAUGCAGCCAUGCCACGUGUGUGAAGAAGGCCUUCGGGUUGUAAAGCACUUUCAGCGGGGAGGAAGGCGUUAAGGUUAAUAACCUUGUCGAUUGACGUUACCCGCAGAAGAAGCACCGGCUAACUCCGUGCCAGCAGCCGCGGUAAUACGGAGGGUGCAAGCGUUAAUCGGAAUUACUGGGCGUAAAGCGCACGCAGGCGGUCUGUCAAGUCGGAUGUGAAAUCCCCGGGCUCAACCUGGGAACUGCAUUCGAAACUGGCAGGCUAGAGUCUUGUAGAGGGGGGUAGAAUUCCAGGUGUAGCGGUGAAAUGCGUAGAAAUCUGGAGGAAUACCGGUGGCGAAGGCGGCCCCCUGGACAAAGACUGACGCUCAGGUGCGAAAGCGUGGGGAGCAAACAGGAUUAGAUACCCCGGUAGUC